UGUUGCAAGGUUGAGUAUGGAUCUCAGCUGUGAAAAUCUCACUGAAAGUCAACGGCAGAGAUUAGACAAAAGUGAUAGUGGCACUUGUAUUUAUUUUGUCCACACAUCUUAUAAGAGAAAUCUCCAUGAGAUCCAACGUAAGCACCGGCGACAUCAUCUUAUUUAGAUGCAUGCUCUGAUAGAUAUGCAGCAUAUGCUCACAUUUUCCUCUUUUCUUCAUAAGCACCAGCAACACCAUCUUCUUCCGACUCCACCUUCUUCCGAUUCAGAGAAUGUCUACCACGUCCCUUCAGUUCAGCACCAUCCCCACUCAUUCCACUACUAGUACAACGACAGUCACCACCAAUUCCUUCUUCUUCAUCCUCUAUUACAUCUAAUGAUGAUAAUCACAAAAUUUUUGAUCAAUUUCAAUCAAAAUUAACGGGUAUCUGGAGAAAUUAGUGAUUAUUACUGAAUUAGAUAAAGAUGAAAAUGCUGCUGGUGGUGAUGAAUUAAUGUGUAUGAAUUAACUUACAAGGAAAUAGAGAAUCUGUUCUUUCCAAGAAAUGAGAAAACAGAUGGUGAAUGAUGAUGAUAUAUUGGUACAAAAGAAGAGUUAGAGUCUGUGGUUAUUGAGUCUCAGAGAUUUGAGUUGAAAAUGAAUUUGUAAUGGGUGAUCUUGAAGCUGUAGAAAAUUUAUGGAUACUGUGGUUUGGUUAUGAAUUCAGGGGUGCAAUUAGUGAUGGUAUUUGAUGGAAGUCUUGAGAAGAAGCAGCACAAAUGGCUCAAGAAUGGUGGUUGUUUGAGAAUGUCUUGUAGAGGAUCUAAUUGAAGUAAUCUGGGUUUGUAGUUGUUUGAGAAAUCAAGGUGUUCAGAUUUUUUGGGCAUUGAUUGUUACUAAUUGAUGGGUUGAAAGAUGAUGAUAUGUUAGAGAUUUUUAUGAACAAAGAUAUUGGGAAAUAUAAGAUACAUGAUAAGAUAAAUGUUUGUGAGAAAGUAAUGCAGCUUGUAAAAUGAAGAAUGAUUACAGGAUGUGUAAAAGAUUAAGUGUAUGCAAGCUUUGUUUUCGUGAUAUCGGUCGCUAUAUGAAGGUAGUUUCCUGUAUACAACUAAUGCAUCCAGUUCUGAUGCAAAUUUCAUUCAGUAAUCUUGGUUCUAUAGACGUUCAAUAUGAUGCAUAUCUGUUUUUUUAAGCAUAGAUGCAUCUUUUGAUGAUGUUGUAGUUUAAUGAAGAACUUUCUGCAUUUUACUGGUGCUGAGUGUGGGAUUACUUUUUUCAGUGGCUAUUGUGCUCAUGGAAUGAGUAUUUGGUUCACUUUCAUGGAUAUUGUUGCUAGUUAGUUCAGUUGGAGCUGAUAGUGAUGGAUUCAGAAGUUUUUCGUGUGCUAUACUUCACCUGCUACUUGUAUUGAGUACUGCAUGUGUACGUGUGAGUGCAAGUGCGCAUUGGUGAUUGUUUGCAAUAAUUAUGAUGGCCUGGAGUUAAGUUACAACACUUUUGUUGGUGAUUCUAUUGAUUGUUUGCGUGUUAAAGUGUUGGUACAGUGGAAUGCAGAUAGUGAUAGUGACAUGAGCUGCAACAGAUAGUGACAAGAAGAAAUCGUGGUUGCUUAAUAGGUUUUGCUUGUGAUGCUGCAAAGCAGAGUUGAGAUAGGUAAUAGCUGAGAAAGAAAUGGGUAAUUGCAGGUGAAGUUCUUGUAGUGUUGCAGGAUUGAAUGACAUGAUUGCAGGUAAAUGUUGUUGAAGAUGGAUUGCUAUUUGUAUAGAGCAGUUGUUUAUCGGUGGUGAUGUGUAUUUGGUCAUCAUGGGUUGCUAGAGAAUUUUGAAGCCAAUUCAUGAGUGGAAAGCGUAAAACAGAUGGUGACUUUGAUGACACGUGAAAAAAAUGAUGACGUGGACAAUGUACACGUGUAUACCCAGUCAGAAUCGAGUUAUUGGUAGAAUCGGUGAUUUAAAUGACAACUAGGCGAGUUUAAGGA